CCUGACAGUGUAUGCAAGCGGGAAUUCUUUUCUGAACCGUACAAAAUGUUGGCACUUUUUAAUCAAAGAUCUACCCUGGAAAGUCCCGCUAACGAGUCCGACUGGUUUAAGGUGUGGUGUGCUUCGAAUAUACUGAAGGAGCACAGAUCAAUAAUUCAGGACAAAGAAUGUCGUUGAAGCCAUGCAGAAGAUUGUAGAUGUUCACUGCAGAAAUUAGAAGACAUUUCAUUCUAUCUCUCUAAUGAUUGUGUGAUCUGUAACUCCAUUAAAUAUUCCUUCCAUAUCAAUGUCAUUAAUUGAAAAUGUUGAAGAAUAUUAUGCCUGGGGUUGAAUCUUACAAAAUCACAUUUAGUACAUCACCACUUUGAUGAGAAACGGUUGACAAUCAUUAUGAUUUGAAGCUAGUUGGUAAAUUUUGCUGCAACAAUUCAAGAAACUAGUAUGACCUUCAUAAGCUUCUCUUGUUCUUCAUACAUCUCUCAGUUCUACAAAGAAAUUCCUCUUUUUAGAUGGAUAUAGUUUAAUUUUUCUUUUAUUUAUAACAUAUCCAUCUUUGUUUACAAUUGAAAUACUGGGUUAUUGAUAUGAUGGAAUUUCCUUUUUCCUUCCCCUCCCCUUUAUCCCUCAUAAAAAAAAGCUUUCAAACACUUGUCUACAUCUUGAAGAACUAGGAUUGUUUAUAAAGUUAAAACUCAUGACUCCUCUAUGACAGAGGGGGUAAACAAAUAGAAUGAAAUAUAAGAGGAAACAAUAAAAUAUAUGGAAAUGUUUAUAGAUGGAUGGUAAGGACAAUCAAUGACUUAGCAGUUUUUAGUCACUUUUAAUCACCAAACCUCAACUGUAAUAUAGCCACCUAGAAUUCAUGACAUAAAAAGUUACUGUAUUGGCUGGAUUCGUAUAUGGCGAUAAAAGAUUACACAUUAAACAUGCUGUCAUGGUCUAAUUCCCAGGCAGUGUUCGGUAAUGAACCAUUAUUUACACAGUUGAAUACUUGGUUUUCUAGAUUAUAGAAAAACCAAAGGAACCAUGUUAUGACUAGCAAGAUGUUCAGUUUUCCCUGGAUUUCAUAUAUUGUUGUUGUAACGUGCAGAAAUAAACCAUCCGUUGUUCCUAUCACUGAAACUAUAUAGGAUAUAAUUAAACGACACCCCACAAAAUACAGCAGCCUCUGUCAUGGUAUUUUAAUUUUUUUUACUUGAGAUGUUGCCUUUCUGUUUAAAAGGAACACUCAAGACACCUUAUAAUUUAAAACAAUAGAAAAGUAAUCCAUCUUUAAAAGCCAAGCUGAAGAAAUACAUCUCACUUUUUUUAUCUUUAGAAAAAGGUAAGUCACAGGGACAAUGUUGUGUCACUCGGGAAUUAAGGCAAGAGAAGAUCCUCUUGACAUACCUGCCAGGCAAGCCUUCUGAGAUCAGAGUCACCUUCCAAAGGACAUCUGCACAUCUUACUCAGAUAGGUUUCUAAAUGAAGAGGCACCUAUGCAACAGUUGCAGCUGAUGUAUAGCAGUUAUCCAGCCAGCCAUCUAGCCAGCCAGCCAGCUGAAUCUUCACUGACCUGUUCAGCAGCAUUUAAAGCAAUUGCUUCAAAAAGCGUUUUAUACAACAUACAGAUCUGUGUAUAAAAUACUUCUCUUCAAUCUGUUAAGGCAGGCUAUCCUCACUAGUGCAACUGUUUCAGUACUGCUUUUGGAUAUCUUCAUACAUAAGAAAUCAUAGCUUUGUUGCAAAAUUAGUUGAAGGGAAGGAUUUGAUGUGUAAUAUAUAUUGCAAAACAUGUUUUUUGAAGCAUUUACAUGGCCCCAAUAUCUCUUGGAUCUAUAUUGCAAAUUUUAAGAUACAGUUCUAGAAAUAGCUCUCUUGUAAAAGUGAGGCCACAUGUAUAUAAAAUAGAAAUGCAUAACUAUUUAUGAAGCAAUAAAAUUGCUAUAAAUUAUUCUAGUUGAAUGGCUAAUAAUACAAUAACUAAAUUUGCAUAAAACAAGUUUAUAAAACUAAAUAUAUAUUGAUACGAAAAUCUACUAUUAUAUACUAGAUGUACCAAAAACAGGAAACAAAGGUAUAAAAAUAUGUACUUUACACACAAACCUUUGUGUGAAUAGUAAAUAUUAGAUGGUCAUAUUAUUAGAUUUUACGUAUGUAUAUUAAAUUUUAAAAUGUUCAUAAAUAGCUUCUUAAUUUCAUUUAAAGUUCUUAUGAAAUGAAUUUUGCUUUCUUACCAUUUCCUUUAGCUUUACAGUAUAACACUAUUGCAUUAGAUAAAUCAUAAAUGUGUACAAACCUAAUGGAUUCAGACUUACAGGUUAAGGUGCUCAACAUACGGCCAUUUGAUAAAACUCAAAACAUGCUAUUUUUUUGUAGAGUUGGAUUCUUGAAUUUCUUGCCCUAUACUACCAUCUUGUGGUUAUGGUGGUUUAUUAUUUCAUGCUUUCUCUUUUUCCCAUAUAGUAUAUAAAUUAUAAGUGUGCUACAUAAUAUUUAGAAGAAGAAAGUAAAAUUGCCUAUUUAAAGAUAAUUGUCUUUCUAAUAGUAAAAUGCAAAUUUGGUGUUAACUAUUCAUUGCUUCAUUGACCUUUUUAGCAGCCUACAGAAUUCUAUGUGCAUGUAAAUAUUUUUUUGAAUCUUUUUCUUUUUUAUUAGUUUAUAAUACAAAAUACAAAAAUAAAAUAGUAGGAAAAAUAGGGGAAGGAAAAGGGAAUGUAGAAGAGUGUAGAAAAGAAGGGAAAAAGAAAGAAAACGCGUUGAAUUUCUACUCCCUUUGGUGCAGUAACAUAAGAUAGUAACAUCAAACCUCAUUUUUGUAUUUUACAUAAUACUAUAAACUAGCGAUGAGAGGUCCUUGGUGCUCUCUGAACUUGCUUAUUUUCUUGCAAACAUUUCAUUACUCUAACUAGUUAACAUCAUCAGUGCUAAGUU